GUCGAGAAUCUUCGGCAAUGGGCUCACGCCUGACCGAGCGACGCCGCGUGGAGGACGAAGGCCUUCGGGUUGUAAACUCCUGUCGAGGGGAAGGAAGGCACCGCAAGGUGCUUGACCGCUCCCUGGAGGAAGGACGGGCUAAGUUCGUGCCAGCAGCCGCGGUAAGACGAACCGUCCGAACGUUAUUCGGAAUCACUGGGCUUAAAGCGCGUGUAGGCGGAUCGACACGUCCGACGCUGAAAUCCCCCGGCUCAACCGGGGAACUGGCCCGGAUACGAUCGGUCUGGAGGAAGGUAGGGGGGCCUGGAACUUCCGGUGGAGCGGUGAAAUGCGUUGAGAUCGGAAGGAACGCCCGUGGCGAAAGCGAGGCCCUGGACCUUUUCUGACGCUGAGACGCGAAAGCCAGGGGAGCGAACGGG
rnacentral:rRNA from 1 species